UGGGGAGGUAUUGGGUUUUGCUUAUGGCCAUUUUUUCCAAGAAAUGAUUCCCAUGUUCCUUCUCGUAGACACUUUACUAAUGAAUUAACCAGUAUAAAAACAGCCAGAAGAGGGUGCUUUCAUUGUAAUACAUGUAUAAUUUUUCAGUAAACUUUAUUUUAUAUAAGGUGCAGUUUUAGGUAUAAAGGCAAAUCAUAUUGGAAAUUGCACUACUGUUUCUUAAAUAAUUGUACCAAUAACUUGAUAUGCAAAUGACAAGGGAAUUCUACCUACUAUACACUCAUUUAAUAUUGUUUGUUAUUUAUAUCAGAUGUGUAAACAAACAAACAGCAUGUUCUAAUUAGUACCUACAAUAAACUGAGACAUUGAGGUCAAGUUAAGUGGACAUUAAUAGUCUACAAUAAGAUCAUUCCAGGUCAGACAACAGUGAUAAGGCUAAUUAUUGUACAGUUAUAGGCUUUCUAAGGUCACUCAAAGGUGUUACAUAUUCAAAGGAUGGCAACUUUUUCAAAUAGCAUAAUGCAUGAAGAUAAUAUGCAAUGACAGGAACACAUGAACAAAUAAUAGAUGUUGACAUUAUAAAAAUAGCUGAUUGUAUAUGGGAAACAGCAGAUUGUAUAGGGGGGGGAAGUUUGAACUUUUCACUAAAAAGUGUUGUUUUUUAUUUUUAUUUUUUUUUUUUUUUUACAUAUAUCCAAAAUUUCACAUGACAUAUAUGAUCAUAUAUUGGUGAAUAUUGAAUACUAUUGCUUUCAGAAUGUUUAUCUAUAUCUAUAAAUUAGUAUUACCCACUAUAUUUAUGUUUUCAGCUCAAUCAGCUUUUUAUAAAGGUAAAGAUGGAAUGAAAGAGACUCAACCUUCGAUCUUUC
rnacentral:lncRNA from 1 species